rnacentral:lncRNA from 1 species
ACUUGUUAAACUUUUAUGUCUCGGUUAAACCCUGACCUCUGGGGCUAAUGCCUCUCACACAGGAAGAUGCUGCUUUUGUGUUCCAGUUGCUGGCUUACAGGCCCCGGUUCCUAUUCUCCCUUCUGCUGGAUGAGAAGACCAAGAACCCAAAAGAUGAGCUCAUAGACCCCGAACCAAGUGCACCUGCACCCACCUGUUCCGGUGGCCUGGAGAGAGACCAUCCUCAUUGCUUCUCAAGGCCCUAA